UACGAAGGGGGCUAGUGUUGUUCGGAAUCACUGGGCGUAAAGGGCGCGUAGGCGGCUUUGUAAGUCGGGGGUGAAAGCCUGUGGCUCAACCACAGAAUUGCCUUCGAUACUGCAUGGCUUGAGACCGGAAGAGGUAAGUGGAACUGCGAGUGUAGAGGUGAAAUUCGUAGAUAUUCGCAAGAACACCAGUGGCGAAGGCGGCUUACUGGUCCGGUUCUGACGCUGAGGCGCGAAAGCGUGGGGAGCAAACAGG
rnacentral:rRNA from 1 species